CUCACAGCCCGCAAGCACACACCCCUCCUUUCUUCCCCAAGCCAUCCCAAUCCUCAACUUCUCCAUUCCCAUCAGAGCUCGCCUAGCAUUUCCGAAGGGUCCACACUAGCCUUGUUCGAGCUCGCCUAGACUUUCUGUCACACUAUUCAUCUUCUUCAAACAAAGAUUCCAUUGCACGAACGAAAGUACCAAGUAUUAGAGAUCCACAACAAUUGAUUCAACGACAGUUGAUUAUUCACAAAUCUAGUCCAAAGUCCUCGUGCUCAAAAUCGUUGGAUUCUAGUGUGCCACCAACGACCCAAUCAGAUAAUGAGGUAUAUAUUGAAGAAGAUUCGGUGACAUGUUCUGAAGAACAAUUAGAAUCACAUGUGGAUGAACAAUCAGAGUCUUCCUCUGAGCCAUGAUAGAAAAAACUUUUAGUAAGUCUUGUUUUGUAAAAUAUUUAAGUUAAUUAAUAUUGAGAAAUAUGAUAUUUAAUUUAUUGCAUAUUGAAAAGAUUCUCAAUUGAAGCCUAUAUUAGAGAAGAAUGAACACUCUGAGUGCAAGAUAAGUGUAAAAAGUCACAAAAAUUAUCAAUGAUGUACUAAAGAAUGACCUGACCAACUUACAAUUGUUCAAGGAAUCUCCGUUCGGACUCUUUCUAAGAACUAUGAACGUUCAAGUCAAGCAAUGUGGUGAUUACUCAUUCAAGAAGCAGAUUGUGAUAGAGAUGUGGUUUGUUGUUAAUGAGGUACCGAUUCGAUUCUCAUUGAUGGAGUAUGCAUUAAUAUUUGGGCUAAAAUGCUUAGAAUAUCCAAAAGGUUGGGAAACUCAUUUAAAGAUAGACACUUUCAUGGGAAAGAAAUAGUCAAUAUUGACGACGAGAAGACCAAAUUUACAACCCAAACCAAAAUAAAAGAGUUUGAAGGAAUGUAAAUGUAAGUGGCAAGGAAAUAUUAAAGAUAGCUUCUCACUGU